rnacentral:rRNA from 1 species
UACAGAGGGGGCAAGCGUUAUUCGGAAUUAUUGGGCGUAAAGGGCGCGUAGGCGGCCUGGCAAGUGGAAGGUGAAAUCCCUCGGCUUAACCGAGGAACUGCCCUCCAAACUGCUUGGCUUGAGACCGGGAGAGGUGAGUGGAAUUCCCAGUGUAGCGGUGAAAUGCGUAGAUAUCGGGAGGAACACCUGUGGCGAAGGCGGCCCCCUGGUUGGAUACUGACGCUGAUACGCGAAAGCGUGGGGAGCAAACAGG